rnacentral:ncRNA from 1 species
UUGAGCCGGAUGCGCGGAAACGUGCACGUCCGGUUCUGAGGGGGGCCGGGCGCAGUAAUGCGCCCGGCCUACCCGGC